rnacentral:miRNA from 1 species
UUGGACAGGAUGGUAAAG